rnacentral:rRNA from 1 species
UACGUAGGGGGCUAGCGUUGUCCGGAAUCAUUGGGCGUAAAGCGCGUGUAGGCGGUCCGGUAAGUCCGCUGUGAAAGUCGAGGGCUCAACCCUCGAAUGCCGGUGGAUACUGUCGGGCUUGAGUACGGGAGAGGCGAGUGGAAUUCCUGGUGUAGCGGUGAAAUGCGCAGAUAUCGGGAGGAACACCGAUGGCGAAGGCAGCACUCUGGGCCGGUACUGACGCUGAGGAGCGAAAGCGUGGGGAGCGAACAGG